rnacentral:rRNA from 1 species
UCCAGUGAUUAUGCCUGGUAGGUAACACCCGUUCCCAUUCCGAACACGACGGUUAAGCUACUAAGGGCCGAUGAUACUGCAGGAGAGGUCUUGUGGGAAAGUAGGUUGUCGCUGGGUU